GAUGAACGCUAGCGGCAGGCCUAAUACAUGCAAGUCGAACGGUGUAGCAAUACACAGUGGCGCACGGGUGCGUAACACGUAUGCAACCUACCUUACAUUGGGGGAUAGCCUUUCGAAAGGGAGAUUAAUACCGCAUAAGACAGUAACUAGGCAUCUAGUAGCUGUUAAAGAUUUAUCGAUGUAAGCUGGGCAUGCGUCCAAUUAGUUAGUUGGCGAGGUAAUGGCUCACCAAGACGAUGAUUGGUAGGGGAACUGAGAGGUCAAUCCCCCACACUGGCACUGAGAUGCGGGCCAGGCUCCUACGGGAGGCAGCAGUAGGGAAUAUUGGGCAAUGGGCGCAAGCCUGACCCAGCCAUGCCGCGUGCAGGAAGAAGGCGUUAUGCGUUGUAAACUGCUUUUAUACAGGAAGAAACGACCCUUGCGAGGGGCAUUGACGGUACUGUAUGAAUAAGCACCGGCUAACUCCGUGCCAGCAGCCGCGGUAAAAC
rnacentral:rRNA from 1 species